rnacentral:rRNA from 1 species
UACGGAGGGUGCAAACGUUGCUCGGAAUCAUUGGGCGUAAAGCGCACGUAGGCGGGUCGUUAAGUCGGGGGUGAAAUCCUGGAGCUCAACUCCAGAACUGCCUUCGAUACUGGCGACCUUGAGUCCGGGAGAGGUGAGUGGAACUCCGAGUGUAGAGGUGAAAUUCGUAGAUAUUCGGAAGAACACCAGUGGCGAAGGCGGCUCACUGGCCCGGUACUGACGCUGAGGUGCGAAAGCGUGGGGAGCAAACAGG